GUGGGGAAUUUUGGACAAUGGGCGCAAGCCUGAUCCAGCAAUGCCGCGUGCAGGAAGAAGGCCUUCGGGUUGUAAACUGCUUUUGUACGGAACGAAACGGUCCGGGUUAAUACCCUGGGCUAAUGACGGUACCGUAAGAAUAAGCACCGGCUAACUACGUGCCAGCAGCCGCGGUAAUACGUAGGGUGCAAGCGUUAAUCGGAAUUACUGGGCGUAAAGCGUGCGCAGGCGGUUUUGUAAGACAGGCGUGAAAUCCCCGGGCUCAACCUGGGAAUUGCGCUUGUGAAUGCAAGGCUGGAGUGCGGCAGAGGGGGAUGGAAUUCCGCGUGUAGCAGUGAAAUGCGUAGAUAUGCGGAGGAACACCGAUGGCGAAGGCAAUCCCCUGGGCCUGCACUGACGCUCAUGCACGAAAGCGUGGGGAGCAAACAGGAUUAGAUACCCUGGUAGUCC
rnacentral:rRNA from 1 species